rnacentral:lncRNA from 1 species
CUUUCAUACGGAAGUUCGUUGUGUUGGUAGAGAGGAGAGUUUUACAACGUUUUGAAGAGUUGCUUCUUGCAUUAGUAGAAUUUUUUAAGGGCUAGUUUGGCUGCAGGAUUUUUCUUUUCUGGCAGACUUCGUCGAAAAGAUACACAUCCUAGCUUCAAGGCAACCAUUGAAUUGAGCAGGAAAAGGGGAAUACUCUUGUGGCCUCAUUGACAUUACAUCCACUCAGCUUCAAGAGUGGUUCUACCCAUAAUACAAGGAUAGAAUUGUUGCAGUAUCCAUAUACUCUGCAGUUGACUGUAUUCCCCAGUUGGAUUGUCAAUCUGGAUUCACUUUCUUUAUGAAAAGCUGGAGAAAUGCACCAGUAUGGUUGGAGUUCGGUGGGCUCUUUCUUCAUAUUGGCUCAUUAAUCUGUGUUCUUUUUUUUCACAUAGCACUAGAAAUCCACUAACAUAGGUGGACCAAGUGGUGUGUGAUGAUGGGAAUUAUUUAUUUCAUUAUGAAUUACCGAUAAGUUAAUGAGAUAUUUGUCAGGUUACAUAAAUAUGAAAAACUGGAAGAAUACUUGCAAUACCUCUGUAGCAUUUCAAGUUCACAUUGGAGAUACAAAAUGUUAGUACAUUGUCCUUUCUUGAGGUCCUUGUCCACGAAACCACAGUGAAUGGCUCAGCUAUACUAUACACGGGAAAUCCAUUAUAUGGAAUAGUAUGUGCACCUGGCCUAAAAGUGCGUUGUUCUGAUGAUAAUUCAUCAAGUGAACAACACCUACAAUGUCGCAAACUAGGCACAAAAAUUGGAACUCCUAAGAAAAGUCU